rnacentral:rRNA from 1 species
GAUGAACGCUAGCUACGAGGCUUAACACAUGCAAGUCGAGCGGCAGCACGGGGAAGCGUUGACGUUCCUGGUGGCGAGCGGCGGACGGGUGAGUAAUGCAUAGAAAUCUGCCCGGUAGUGGGGGAUAACCUGGGGAAACCCAGGCUAAUACCGCAUACGUCCUACGGGAGAAAGCAGGGGAUCUUCGGACCUUACGCUAUCGGAUGAGUCUAUGUCGGAUUAGCUUGUUGGUGAGGUAAUGGCUCACCAAGGCGACGAUCCGUAGCUGGUCUGAGAGGAUGAUCAGCCACAUCGGGACUGAGACACGGCCCGA